rnacentral:rRNA from 1 species
AUGUGCGGCAAUAAGGAGGAAUCGCUGUUUCACUUUCUGGUUACAUGCAAUCAUGCCAAACUGUUUUGGAUAGAGGCAGAAGAUUUCUUCGAGUUCAAGAUACCAAAACUACAUCCAGCGACGUGGUCGCGGGAUUUGCUUGAUCCCAGUUUCAUUGGGAGAGACCGGGCGGCUGUCAUUAUAUCAGUCAUGUGGGCAAUCUGGUCAAGCAGGAACAAAUACACCCAUGAGGAAGUCAAAUAUCAGCCCGGGAGAUCGAUGGUCCUAGUGAAGGAACUCAUCCAAGCUGUGUACAUCCCGCCCAAUACAGAGGGGAGGUGUAUUACGAAGGAGAGAUGGAAGCCACUGGGAGCUGGUUGGUUGAAGAUCAAUACGGACGCUGCGCUGGAUGGAAACGGGGUUUCCUCAGUGAUCGGACUAGUGGCACGGGGCCAUGAUGGAGAAUUGAAGCUCGCGAGAGGCCGCAAGCUGCCCGGGGUUACGGACCUGUAUUGUGCAGAGCUGCUAGCUGUGAGGGAGGCUGUGCGUCUGGCUAUGGAGAAGGGCUGGACGCGGGUGAUCGUCUAG